rnacentral:rRNA from 3 species
AGACCCGAAACCCGGUGAUCUAGCCAUGGGCAGGUUGAAGGUUGGGUAACACUAACUGGAGGACCGAACCGACUAAUGUUGAAAAAUUAGCGGAUGACCUGUGGCUGGGGGUGAAAGGCCAAUCAAACCGGGAGAUAGCUGGUUCUCCCCGAAAGCUAUUUAGGUAGCGCCUCGUGAAUUCAUCUCCGGGGGUAGAGCACUGUUUCGGCUAGGGGGCCAUCCCGGCUUACCAACCCGAUGCAAACUGCGAAUACCGGAGAAUGUUAUCACGGGAGACACACGGCGGGUGCUAACGUCCGUCGUGAAGAGGGAAACAACCCAGACCGCCAGCUAAGGUCCCAAAGUCAUGGUUAAGUGGGAAACGAUGUGGGAAGGCCCAGACAGCCAGGAUGUUGGCUUAGAAGCAGCCAUCAUUUAAAGAAAGCGUAAUAGCUCACUGGUCGAGUCGGCCUGCGCGGAAGAUGUAACGGGGCUAAACCAUGCACCGAAGCUGCGGCAGCGAACGUAUCACCCAAGACAACUUUACGGAGUUGACGAUUGACGGAGCGAAGCGACGUCAAAGCGUUCAUUAAAGUCGAGUUGGCUUAGGGAUACGUUCGUUGGGUAGGGGAGCGUUCUGUAAGCCUGUGAAGGUGUGUCGUGAGGCAUGCUGGAGGUAUCAGAAGUGCGAAUGCUGACAUAAGUAACGAUA